UACAGAGACCUCAAGCGUUAUCCGGAAUCAUUGGGCGUAAAGCGUACCGAUAGGUGGUUUACAAAGUCAGAGGUGAAAUCUCUCAGCUUAACUGGGAGACUGUCCUUUGAUACUUGUAAGCUAGAGGGGCAAAGAGGAAGCUGGAACGAACGGUGUAGUAGUGAAAUGCGUUGAUAUCGUUCGGAACACCAAUAGCGUAGGCAAGCUUCUGGGUGCCACCUGACACUGCUAGGACGGAAAGCGAUGGGGAGCGAAGUGGG
rnacentral:rRNA from 1 species